rnacentral:rRNA from 1 species
UUGGGCAGGCCAUACGGACGCCAAAAAAGUGUCCCUGGCCGCCUACACCCACUAUACAUCCACAAACCCGUGUGCACUGUCUUGGAGAAAGGCUUCUUGAGAAGUUUUGUGGCCUCUCUUGGGGUCUUUCUUCGCUACAAACUCGAAUGGUUAGUAUGAACGUGGAACUUGGUUGGACCGUCACUGGCCAACAAACUAUACACAACUUUCGACAACGGAUCUCUUGGUUCUCCCAUCGAUGAAGAACGCAGCGAAACGCGAUAGGUAAUGUGAAUUGCAGAAUUCCGUGAAUCAUCGAAUCUUUGAACGCACCUUGCGCUCUAUGGCAAUCCGUAGAGCAUGCCUGUUUGAGUGCCAUGAAAUCUCCCACCCCAAGCGGUUUUUGAAUGUGAAACGGCUUGGCGGAUGGGGUCUGGAUGGGUGCCUCUGCCUGUGCUAAACCUUAGCCCACAGGCUCGCCCGAAAUGCAUGAGCGCCUUGGGACACUUUGCAUCCGCCUCUCUUGUGGGAGGAGGCGGCCAAGCAGUGUUUUUCUCCAGGCAUGGCAUGAUACGUCAUUUGCUAUGUCGCCCAAUGGAGGAAUGUUUGGUUGUGUCUGCGUGUGCUUCGAACUUGCCUCUGUGCAAAAUCCCCUUUCACUUCUGGUCUCAAAUCAGGUAGGAUCACCCGCUGAACUUAAGCAUAUC